rnacentral:rRNA from 1 species
GCCUAAUACAUGCAAGUCGAGCGAUGAUUAAAGAUAGCUUGCUAUUUUUAUGAAGAGCGGCGAACGGGUGAGUAACGCGUGGGAAAUCUGCCGAGUAGCGGGGGACAACGUUUGGAAACGAACGCUAAUACCGCAUAACAAUGAGAAUCGCAUGAUUCUUAUUUGAAAGAAGCAAUUGCUUCACUACUUGAUGAUCCCGCGUUGUAUUAGCUAGUUGGUAGUGUAAAGGACUACCAAGGCGAUGAUACAUAGCCGACCUGAGAGGGUGAUCGGCCACACUGGGACUGAGACACGGCCCAGACUCCUACGGGAGGCAGCAGUAGGGAAUCUUCGGCAAUGGGGGCAACCCUGACCGAGCAACGCCGCGUGAGUGAAGAAGGUUUUCGGAUCGUAAAACUCUGUUGUUAGAGAAGAACGUUACGUAG